UACGGAGGGUGCGAGCGUUACCCGGAUUUACUGGGCGUAAAGGGCGUGUAGGCGGUUUUCUAAGUCCGGGGCUAAAGACCAGGGCUCAACACUGGGUUUGCCUUGGAUACUGGAAAGAUCGACGGCUGGAGGGGGCAGCGGAAUUUCCGGAGUAGCGGUGAAAUGAGCAGAUACCGGAAGGAACGCCAAUAGCGAAGGCAGCUGCAUGGACAGUACGUGACGCUGAGGCGCGAAAGCGUGGGGAGCAAACCGG
rnacentral:rRNA from 1 species